rnacentral:rRNA from 1 species
AUUGAACGCUGGCGGCAGGCUUAACACAUGCAAGUCGAGCGCCGUAGCAAUACGGAGCGGCAGACGGGUGAGUAACGCGUGGGAAUCUACCCAUCACUACGGAACAACUCCGGGAAACUGGAGCUAAUACCGUAUACGUCCUUCGGGAGAAAGAUUUAUCGGUGAUGGAUGAGCCCGCGUUGGAUUAGCUAGUUGGUGGGGUAAUGGCCCACCAAGGCGACGAUCCAUAGCUGGUCUGAGAGGAUGAUCAGCCACACUGGGACUGGGACACGGCCCAGACUCCUACGGGAGGCAGCAGUGGGGAAUAUUGGACAAUGGGCGCAAGCCUGAUCCAGCCAUGCCGCGUGAGUGGUGAAGGCCCUAGGGUUGUAAAGCUCUUUCACCGGUGAAGAUAAUGACGGUAACCGGAGAAGAAGCCCCGGCUAACUUCGUGCCAGCAGCCGCCGUAAUAC